CAGUAGCCACGGUAAUACAGAGGGUGCGAGCGUUAAUCGGAUUUACUGGGCGUAAAGCGUGCGUAGGCGGCUUUUUAAGUCGGAUGUGAAAUCCCUGAGCUUAACUUAGGAAUUGCAUUCGAUACUGGGAAGCUAGAGUAUGGGAGAGGAUGGUAGAAUUCCAGGUGUAGCGGUGAAAUGCGUAGAGAUCUGGAGGAAUACCGAUGGCGAAGGCAGCCAUCUGGCCUAAUACUGACGCUGAGGCGCGAAAGCGUGGGGAGCAAACAGGAUUAGAUACCCCUGUAGUCCCUGUCUCUUAUAC
rnacentral:rRNA from 1 species